GGGAAACCGAGUCUUAAUUGGGCGUUAAGUUGCAGGGUAUAGACCCGAAACCCGGUGAUCUAGCCAUGGGCAGGUUGAAGGUUGGGUAACACUAACUGGAGGACCGAACCGACUAAUGUUGAAAAAUUAGCGGAUGACCUGUGGCUGGGGGUGAAAGGCCAAUCAAACCGGGAGAUAGCUGGUUCUCCCCGAAAGCUAUUUAGGUAGCGCCUCGUGAAUUCAUCUCCGGGGGUAGAGCACUGUUUCGGCUAGGGGGCCAUCCCGGCUUACCAACCCGAUGCAAACUGCGAAUACCGGAGAAUGUUAUCACGGGAGACACACGGCGGGUGCUAACGUCCGUCGUGAAGAGGGAAACAACCCAGACCGCCAGCUAAGGUCCCAAAGUCAUGGUUAAGUGGGAAACGAUGUGGGAAGGCCCAGACAGCCAGGAUGUUGGCUUAGAAGCAGCCAUCAUUUAAAGAAAGCGUAAUAGCUCACUGGUCGAGUCGGCCUGCGCGGAAGAUGUAACGGGGCUAAACCAUGCACCGAAGCUGCGGCAGCGACACUGUGUGUUGUUGGGUAGGGGAGCGUUCUGUAAGCCUGUGAAGGUGGCCUGUGAGGGUUGCUGGAGGUAUCAGAAGUGCGAAUGCUGACAUAAGUAACGAUAAAGCGGGUGAAAAGCCCGCUCGCCGGAAGACCAAGGGUUCCUGUCCAACGUUAAUCGGGGCAGGGUGAGUCGACCCCUAAGGCGAGGCCGAAAGGCGUAGUCGAUGGGAAACGGGUUAAUAUUCCCGUACUUGGUGUUACUGCGAAGGGGGGACGGAGAAGGCUAUGUUGGCCGGGCGACGGUUGUCCCGGUUUAAGCGUGUAGGUGUGUGUUCCAGGUAAAUCCGGUU
rnacentral:rRNA from 1 species